UACGUAGGGUGCGAGCGUUGUCCGGAAUUAUUGGGCGUAAAGGGCUCGUAGGCGGUUUGUCGCGUCGGGAGUGAAAUCCACUGGCUUAACUGGUGGCUUGCUUUCGAUACGGGCAGACUGGAGGUAUGCAGGGGAGACUGGAAUUCCUGGUGUAGCGGUGAAAUGCGCAGAUAUCAGGAGGAACACCGAUGGCGAAGGCAGGUCUCUGGGCAUUAACUGACGCUGAGGAGCGAAAGCAUGGGGAGCGAACAGG
rnacentral:rRNA from 1 species